GUAGGCGAACGCUUUUUGGACCGUUCGCCUUCUGCAAAGUGCUAUUGAAAACGCCUUUGGUGUGUUCAAGUAUACUACUCCUGGACUAAAGGGCGCACACGGGGAUUGUUAAACAAACCCUUUCCUUUCCUUUGAGAGGUCCCUACGAGAGAUACUCUUGGCUCCAUGGUGAUCCAUAGUAACGAUAAACCGUUCUUGUCUUCCCUCUUCGUGCGGUCCGCUUGCGGUAAGGUUGGUACGCCGGAAGGGGUUCCUGUACGCUUGGCGACCUUCACGCAGCCACUUUGUUUACCCGGGAAGAGCAAGUCUCCAGAAAUUUCAUCACCAUUCACCAUCAUAUUUUGUAUCAGGAGACUCCAGCACCAUGGUCUGUGAGGUAGUGGCCUUGGACACACCACAGGAGGCCAUGGUCACACCACUGAUGGCCAUGGUCACACCACUGGUGGCCAUGGUAGAGGGGACAGUGGUGUUGGAGAAGACACCAGGACCAACCACUUAAAUACCAAGAGAAAAGGCCAAAAGGAGAUUCCAUGAAAGUGAUUUAUAUAUAGAUGCGCCAGAGGCCAGAAAUGUAAUGAAAGAAAAGGUUGAAACUCAAAAAAAAGAAUGAUGAAAAAGGAAUACCUAUUAAAUUUACAAAUAUUAGAUAUAGAGAUUAGGAA